rnacentral:rRNA from 1 species
CGUGCAGGCGGUUCGAUAAGUUGGAUAUGAAAUCUCCCGGCUUAACUGGGAGAGGCUAUUCAAUACUACCGGACUAGAGAGUGGUAGAGGAAGAUGGAAUUCCAGGUGUAGUGGUGAAAUGCGUAGAUAUCUGGAGGAACACCAGUGGCGAAAGCGAUCUUCUGGACCAUUUCUGACGCUCAGAGCGAAAGCUAGGGUAAGGUAAACG